rnacentral:rRNA from 1 species
GAUGAACGCUGGCGGCGUGCCUAAUACAUGCAAGUCGAGCGAACGGACGAGAAGCUUGCUUCUCUGAUGUUAGCGGCGGACGGGUGUGUAACACGUGGAUAACCUCCCUAUAAGACUGGGAUAACUUCGGGAAACCGGAGCUAAUACCGGAUAAUAUUUUGAACCGCAUGGUUCAAAAGUGAAAUACGGUCUUGCUGUCACUUAUAGAUGGAUCCGCGCUGCAUGAGCUAGUUGGUAAGGUAACGGCUUACCAAGGCAACGAUGCAUAGCCGACCUGAGAGAGUGAUCGGCGACACUGGAACGGAGACACGGACCAGACUACUACGGGAGGCAGCAGUAGGGAAUCUUACGCAAUGGGCGAAAGCCUGACGGAGCAACGCCGCGUGAGAGAUGAAGGUGUUCGGAUCGUAAAAACCGGUUAUUAGGGAAGAACAUAUGUGUAAGUAACUGUGCACAUCUUGACGGUAACUAAUCAGAAAGCCACGGCUAACUACGUG